rnacentral:rRNA from 1 species
GAUGAACGCUGGCGGCGUGCCUAAUACAUGCAAGUCGAACGAAACUUCUUUAUCACCGAGUGCUUGCACUCACCGAUAAAGAGUUGAGUGGCGAACGGGUGAGUAACACGUGGGCAACCUGCCCAAAAGAGGGGGAUAACACUUGGAAACAGGUGCUAAUACCGCAUAACCAUAGUUACCGCAUGGUAACUAUGUAAAAGGUUGCUAUACUACCGCUUUUGGAUGGGCCCGCGGCGCAUUAGCUAGUUGGUAGGGUAAAGGCUUACCAAGGCAAUGAUGCGUAGCCGAAUUGAGAGGUUGAUCGGCCACAUUGGGACUGAGACACGGCCCAAACUCCUACGGGAGGCAGCAGUAGGGAAUCUUCCACAAUGGGCGAAAGCCUGAUGGAGCAACGCCGCGUGGGUGAAGAAGGUCUUCAGAUCGUAAAACCCUGUUGUUAGAGAAGAAAGUGCGUGAGAGUAACUGUUCACGUUUCGACGGUAUCUAACCAGAAAGCCACGGCUAACUACGUG